rnacentral:rRNA from 1 species
AUGCCGAACCCGAUCAUCGUCGUCGCCUACGGCCUCCUCCUGCUCCUCCCCCUGCGCAAUCCCACCUGUCGUGCCGCGACGGACACCAUCUCAGCUGGGCAGGUACUCGCCGGCAAGGACACGCUCGUCUCCAGCAACGGCAAGUUCGCACUGGGCUUCUUCCAACCGAACAGUAAGUCCUCGCGCCAUGCUUCCAACUGGUACCUGGGCGUAUGGUUCAACACAGUCCCAAAGUUCACUCCGGCGUGGGUGGCCAACGGAGAUAAGCCUGUCACUUUGCCGGAGCUCGCAAUCUCCGGCGACGGAAACCUAGUCAUCAUAGACCAGAGCACCAAGUCCAUCAUCUGGUCUACCCAGGCCAACACCACAGCAAACAGCACUAGAGCCAUGCUACUGAAAACCGGUAACCUCGUCCUGCAAAGCACCUCAAACUCUUCCCAUGUCUUGUGGCAAAGCUUUGACUACCCGACGGAUACUCAUCUCGCCGGCGCAAAGCUUGGCCGAGACAAGGUCACCGGCCUGAACCGCCGUCUUGUCUCCAGAAAGAACAUGAUAGACCCUGCUCCUGGGAUGUAUGUUUAUGAGUUGCACGAGAAGAACGGUUCUGCCUGGUUCAGUCUUGCAGCACUCAACUCGUCCAUACCAUACUGGUCGAGUGGAGAAUGGAACGGGCACUACUUUGGUUCUAUACCAGAGAUGUCAGGCCGCCAGUUGAUUGACUUUACGUUCGUCAACAACGAACAAGAGGUGUACUUCACUUAUACCUUGCUGGAUGACGCGACCAUCAUGCGUUUUGCGCUGAAUAACUCUGGUCAAGUCAAGAUACUCUUGUGGGUUGAGCGUGCACAGGAUUGGGUACCAGCCCACACCAAUCCCAACGACCAUUGUGAUGUGUAUGGCAUCUGUGGGCCUUUCACAAUCUGCGACGAGGACAAGCUUCCUUACUGCAGCUGUAUGGAGGGCUUCUCCAUAAGAUCGCCUGAUGACUGGGAGCUAGAAGAUCGAACAGGCGGCUGCAUGAGAAAUGCCCAAUUAGAUUGCAGAAUCAACGACAACACAAGUAUGCAAGACAGGUUCUACUCCCUGCCAUGUGUCGGUUUGCCCGACAAUGGCCGCAAGAUAGGAGAUGCUACAAAUGUAGCUGGAUGUGCACAAGUUUGUCUGCGCAACUGCAAUUGCACUGCGUAUUCCUAUGGUUACAACGGAUGUUUUGUUUGGGAUGAUGAAUUAACCAAUGUGAAACAGCAACGAUGUGGUGAUAUUGGUAACAAUAAGCAAGCUACUCUUUACCUCCGCCUUGCCGACAAAGAGGUGAAAAGGUUGGGAAGGAACAGGCGACGGAUAAUCAUUGGCAGUGCCGUUGGUGCAAGUGUUGCUCUAUUUGGUUUGUUGUCACUCUUCUUUCUACUGAUGACUAGGAGGAUGUGUGCUCACAGGAUGAAAAACCUUCAAGGUGAUGGUGGCAUUAUCAUGUUCAGGUAUGCUGAUUUGCAACGUGCAACAAAAAACUUCUCUGAGAAGCUAGGGACAGGUGGUUUUGGUUCUGUAUUCAAGGGGGUUCUAAAUGACUCGUCUGCAAUAGCAGUUAAAAGGCUUGAUGGUGCUCGUCAAGGCGAGAAGCAAUUCAGAGCUGAAGUGAGAUCAAUUGGGACCAUUCAGCAUAUCAAUUUAGUUAAACUAAUUGGUUUCUGUACCGAGGGUGAUAGGAGGCUGAUUGUCUAUGAACACAUGCAAAAUCGUUCUCUUGAUGCCCAUUUAUUUCAUAGUAAUGCUACAGGCUUAAAAUGGAGCAUCAGGUAUCAAAUUGCUAUCGGAGUUGCUAGAGGACUGGCCUACUUGCAUGAUAGUUGCAGGGAUUGUAUUAUACAUUGUGAUAUUAAGCCAGAGAACAUACUCCUCGAUGCAUCAUUUGCUCCAAAGAUCGCAGACUUUGGGAUGGCAAAGUUUCUUGGAAGGGACUUUAGUCGAGUUCUCACUACAAUGAGAGGAACUAUAGGAUAUCUUGCACCUGAAUGGCUUAGUGGAACUCUUAUUACAGCAAAAGUCGAUGUAUACAGCUAUGGCAUGGUUCUGUUGGAAAUUGUAUCAGGAAAGAGGAACUCAGGUACACAGUGUACAACCGAUGACGAUGAUGUCUAUUUCCCUGUGCAAGUCGUAAAUAAACUACUGCAGGGGGGUGCGGGAAGUUUGAUGGACAGCAAUCUGCACGAUGAUGUCCAUUUGGACCAGGUGGAAAGAGCUUUGAAGGUUGCGUGUUGGUGUAUUCAAGAUCAUGAGUUUGAUCGACCCACAAUGGGUGAAGUAGUUCAAUAUCUUGAAGGUUUUCUUGAAGUCAACAUACCCCCAAUGCCAAGACUACUUGAAGCUAUUGCAGGGAGUGCACACUCGAAAUCCGAUUGGUACCUGGACCAAGCUUCACAAGAGGGGGGACUGAAAGAUGAUGGAGGCAGUGCGCCACACCAUGCAGCUCACCCAUGA